GAGUUUGAUCGUGGCUCAGAUUGAACGCUGGCGGCACGCCUAACACAUGCAAGUCGAGCGGCAGCGAGAGUAGUAGCAAUACUACUUGUCGGCGAGCGGCGGACGGGUGAGGAACACGUAGGAAUCUGCCCUUUAGCGGGGGACAACCAAGGGAAACUUUGGCUAAUACCGCGUAAUCUCGAGAGAGGAAAGCUGCCCGCAAGGGUGGCGCUGAAGGAGGAGCCUGCGUCCGAUUAGCUAGUUGGUGGGGUAAGAGCCCACCAAGGCGAUGAUCGGUAACUGGUCUGAGAGGACGACCAGUCACACUGGGACUGAGACACGGCCCAGACUCCUACGGGAGGCAGCAGUGGGGAAUAUUGGACAAUGGGGGCAACCCUGAUCCAGCGAUGCCGCAUGGGUGAAGAAGG
rnacentral:rRNA from 1 species